rnacentral:rRNA from 1 species
GAUGAACGCUGGCGGCGUGCCUAAUACAUGCAAGUCGAGCGAACGGACGAGAAGCUUGCUUCUCUGAUGUUAGCGGCGGACGGGUGAGUAACACGUGGAUAACCUACCUAUAAGACUGGGAUAACUUCGGGAAACCGUAGCUAAUACCGGAUAAUAUUUUGAACCGCAUGGUUCAAAAGUGAAAGACGGUCUUGCUGUCACUUAUAGAUGGAUCCGCGCUGCAUUAUCUAGUUGGUAAGGUAACGGCUUACCAAGGCAACGAUGCAUAGCCGACCUGAGAGGGUGAUCGGCCACACUGGAACUGAGACACGGUCCAGACUCCUACGGGAGGCAGCAGUAGGGAAUCUUCCGCAAUGGGCGAAAGCCUGACGGAGCAACGCCGCGUGAGUGAUGAAGGUCUUCGGAUCGUAAAACUCUGUCAUUAGGGAAGAACAUAUGUGUAAGUAACUGUGCACAUCUUGACGGUACCUAAUCAGAAAGCCACGGCUAACUACGU